rnacentral:rRNA from 1 species
GAUGGACGCUGGCGGCGUGCCUAAUACAUGCAAGUCGAGCGAACAGACGAGGAGCUUGCUCCUCUGACGUUAGCGGCGGACGGGUGAGUAACACGUGGAUAACCUACCUAUAAGACUGGGAUAACUUCGGGAAACCGGAGCUAAUACCGGGUAAUAUAUUGAACCGCAUGGUUCAAUAGUGAAAGACGGUUUUGCUGUCACUUAUAGAUGGAUCCGCGCCGCAUUAGCUAGUUGGUAAGGUAACGGCUUACCAAGGCAACGAUGCGUAGCCGACCUGAGAGGGUGAUCGGCCACACUGGAACUGAGACACGGUCCAGACUCCUACGGGAGGCAGCAGUAGGGAAUCUUCCGCAAUGGGCGAAAGCUUGACGGAGCAACGCCGCGUGAGUGAUGAAGGUCUUCGGAUCGUAAACCUCUGUUAUUAGGGAAGAACAAAUGUGUAAGUAACUAUGCACGUCUUGACGGUACCUAAUCAGAAAGCCACGGCUAACUACGUG